rnacentral:tRNA from 1 species
GCGGUGGUAGCUCAGUGGUAGAGCAUCAGUUUUCCAAACUGAGGGUCGCGAGUUCAAAUCUCGUCCACCGCU